CAAAAAAAAAAAAAAAAAAAAAAAAAACUGCACCGCUCCUGUUAUAAACUCCCCACCAUCACCACCGCUCUCCUUAAUUGCCAUCCACUUCCCCGUCGUCAUCAUCAACGCCGAGUUCCAAGUCGGUGGCAAGAGUUGCUUUGGUUCACCACAGGUUGAUGGAAGACAAACCUAUUUGUUUUAUCAUUUUCCUAAUGCAAUUGCUACUAUAAGAAGAUGAAAUCGAGAUGGAAGACAAACCUAAAGAGGAACAGGUGACCGAGAUGGAUUGAAAUCAGCCGGGGACAACAGUGGGGAGAAAAUUGAAAUAUAUGAAACAAAAAACGACCCUGAAGAACCAACAAGCUUCAAGAAACACUAUAUCUAAAAGAUCCACACUUUUCUUGUGUAUCUGUAGUUUUGUGCUGGAUUACUCUUCACCAAAAGAAAUGCAGGGAAAUUGGAUUUGCUAGAGUUACAAUUGUGAUUUAUGCUUAAUGGGCUUUCUUUAUACAACUCUUUUUGGAUGCAUUUCAGUCAAGAAUCUCAUUCCUUGUAACAAAUUUGCUCAUCAAAUUUAUGAUGUCUGAUAGGGAUCCAACCAACCAUGAAGUGAACCACGAGCUUGGGGCUCUUGUAUCGCUGGUUACACAGAAACCGAUGCUCUGGAGCAUGCCAUGAAGAAUUUAGCGGAAAUAGAAAAGCAAUAUUAGUUUUGUUGUAGAUGUGUGGGAGGGUGCAAGGAAUGAGCAUAUUUUGGUAAAUUAGCAAAUUGUAUAAUCUUUAUUAAGUUAUGACAUAGUGGAAUAGUAAUGAUUUAAUCAGAUGCAGCUUUUGUCGGUCAUUAUCACAUGAGUGUUAAUUGACGUUUUCAUUUUAAGUAGUAUGACAUGCUCUCGCGUUCCCGUAGUUCAUCGUUAUGGUUCUAUAAGUGUAGUCCGUCAUUCUUGUACUCACGAAUGGUCGCGAUCUGAACAUUUGUUUUGACCAGGUUCAUCUUUGAAAGUUCUUUAUGCAGGAGGUUAUAUCAUAAACCCAUGCAGUCCUUAAAAGCAUUGUGCUAGAGGUAUGUUACUGUCACUUAAAUAUAUUGAUAAAUGUGAAUUACUUGUGAUAUCAUAUUUCAGUUAUAAGUCAAUCCCAUAUUGUUGAAAGCUAUAGCUGUCUAACCUUUAUGUUGAUUUACUAAUUAAAUGUGGCAGGAUCCGAAAGCAGCUAAACUUCAAAGUACCACGUGCAUUUUUCUAGAAUUUUCAUAAGCUAUUUGUGCUACCUAUAAGUACCUUCAAUUGCUAUUCAUUUGUCUUUAUCUUAUAUCUCAUACUUACAUACAGUAAUAUUUGCACUAAAAUACCUGAAUCUGAGUUUAAAAGGUGUUUCAAGCUAAGGUGGUCCUACUCAUGAUGAUUUACCUAGCUUAAGGACCAAGGUACAUUCCGGUUUUUUUAUUGA